GACGAACGCUGGCGGCGUGCUUAACACAUGCCAGUCGAACGGAAAGGCCCUGCUUUUGUGGGGUGCUCGAGUGGCGAACGGGUGAGUAACACGUGAGUAACCUGCCCUUGACUUUUGGAUAACUUCAGGAAACUGGGGCUAAUACCGGAUAGGAGCUCCUGCUGCAUGGUGGGGGUUGGAAAGUUUCGGCGGUUGGGGAUGGACUCGCGGCUUAUCAGCUUGUUGGUGGGGUAGUGGCUUACCAAGGCUUUGACGGGUAGCCGGCCUGAGAGGGUGACCGGCCACAUUGGGACUGAGAUACGGCCCAGACUCCUACGGGAGGCAGCAGUGGGGAAUAUUGCACAAUGGGCGGAAGCCUGAUGCAGCAACGCCGCGUGCGGGAUGACGGCCUUCGGGUUGUAAACCGCUUUCGCCUGUGACGAAGCGUGAGUGACGGUAAUGGGUAAAGAAGCACCGGCUAACUACGUG
rnacentral:rRNA from 1 species